UUUUAUAUCUACUUUACGGAGUAAAAUCAGCCGUGAGAAGGUGGUGGAGUAGUGGCAAGACUGCAGCAAUCUAUAGAAGAUAGACRUCUCUCUCCAACUCAAAACAGAGGUUUGCUAUUGAAGUUUGUU